rnacentral:rRNA from 1 species
GACGUAGGGCGCGAGCGUUGUCCGGAUUUAUUGGGCGUAAAGAGCUCGUAGGCGGCUUGUCGCGUCGACUGUGAAAACCCGCAGCUCAACUGUGGGCUUGCAGCCGAUACGGGCGGGCUGGAGUUCGGUAGGGGAGACUGGAAUUCCUGGUGUAGCGAUGAUAUGCGCAGAUAUCAGGAGGAACACCGGUGGCGAAGGCGGGUCUCUGGGCCGAUAUUGACGCUGAGGAGCGAAAGCGUGGGGAGCGAACAGG